UACGUAGGUGGCGAGCGUUGUCCGGAAUUACUGGGUGUAAAGGGCGUGCAGGCGGGAAUACAAGUUAGAUGUGAAAUACCGGGGCUCAACUUCGGGGUUGCAUCUGAAACUGGAUUUCUUGAGUGCUGGAGAGGGAAGCGGAAUUCCUGGUGUAGCGGUGAAAUGCGUAGAGAUCAGGAGGAACAUCAGUGGCGAAGGCGGCUACCUGGACGAGCACUGACGCUGAGGCACGAAAGCGUGGGGAGCAAACAGG
rnacentral:rRNA from 1 species